UCACUACUACGAGGCCGACAGAGUACCUCUGAAGCCACCAAAUGAACAUCUUCCUCUCAUUCUGCAUUUCCGAAAGAAAGUUUUUGAACAUCCGCUCCAAUCUCAAAUUUGUGUUGUCUUUCAUGUAUCAUAUAGGGAGAUUUUUAACAAUACCCAACAUUUCUAAAGAAUCUUUGGCUCAAUCCUCUUUAAUAACUAGAAAUAAAAAUGCACAACAAAUCUCUUUUGUAGAAGCGUUUGAUUUAUUCUGCUUUCAACUUUAUUAGUUUGAGUUAGCCUGUGAUUAUACUGGCAAAUAACGUAAAUUCUUGAAGCUCACUGUCGAUUCACAUUUUUGUUUAUAAGCUUCCAAACAUUGCUGUUCCGAAUUUCUCUCUUUUUUCGCACUUCAGUUCUGAUACGUCAGCAUUACUAGCUGAUGCAUGGACUAAAUCUUUGAUGUGGGGAUUCUAGCGAAGCCAACAGAGUUCUGGACGAUAAAAUAAAACUGUGUUCACGCCCGAACAAUCGUAAGAUUUUUGGGCAAGCAAUCCUUCCUGAAGCGGACUGCUUAGAGAACACGAGUGGUUACUUUCUUGAAACCAUACAUCGACGGAUGCCUUCCCGCUUGUUAGAAAAUCUCUCUUAUUUAUAUCUAGAAGAGCCAUAAUUUAGAUUUAUUUUUUCAGAAGUGGAAAAGGUCGUGCCUCCUUGUACCGGUGAAGGGUGGAUGUGAUUAUACUAAACUAAAACGCACCGAGCCUGGAAAGUUGAAGAAUGGGAUGAAUAGGCUUUGCGUUUUGGCCAACGAUUCUGAAAGACAGACCAAUGGAGUUCUUUGGAAUUAACACCCCUAUUCACGAGAUGUCGUUGUAUAUGUCAUCAGGGAAUCAACAUCAUCUCACACUGCGUCAAGUCACGAGCGAUGUGAUAUCCCAAAAUCCUGCUACUCCAGGAUUUAUGGGAUCGGGCAGCCCACCGAACCCAAGCAACAUCGUGAAAGGAGCCCAAUAAGCCAAUCAAAUCCACCUCCACUAACGUGAGAGGGCAUUUUUUUUUCUUUUUUUCCGAUGCACCAUCUGCUCACCCUAGUCUAAUAUAAAGCAAGAACUUGACACAGUAGUAUAGAAGAGACCCCUCGAUAAGUCUAAAGGACCUUUUCCAAAUGCUGAGCUGUAUAAGUAGCAACUCAAUUUGUGGCUCGAUUUGCCUUGUGGUAAACAUGCACAACCUGAAAGGUAUUGCAUCCUCCCAUCUAUCGAAUGUCGUGUAGUAGAGGGCUCGCAUCCUCCCUCCACUCCUCCUUUCAUAUCCAAUCAAUCACCGAGGUUGAGUCCCCUUCCAGGAUGAUGCGCUCCGUGCUCAGCCUUCGGCUCGUAAAGGAUAUGCCCUCCCAAGUUGCCUUAAGCUCCGCCCCUGCAGCUGACAGCGCGACGAUGCUUCGGCCUCCUACAGCAAUUAGCUGUAAGUUAUGACUCUUGAUCACAAACCCCAUACCUACUCUGUCUCUCUCUCUAGCAACACUAUCAUCGAAAUUCACCUUGAAAUGGCCGGGGGUAGAGGCACCCAAGAGAGAAGGACGAACUUAGGCACAAUAUUAGCAGAGCAAGUGUCCCUAACCAUCCCAGAUGAAAUCGACGUAGUGACCAGGAUGAGCUCUACAAUCUGGAGAGUGGCUUUCCUUACUACACUACUCGGUGGCACCCGUCGGUUAUCCAAAACCUGAACAUUCCUAUCCAACCAGAUAUGAUAUGCUAAGUAGGCACAGGUGAUCCCCCACUCCAUCGUCCUCGGGCUCUGCAUCGCCUCCUUUAUCUGGCGUAGAAGGUCAUCAGCUGAUCGAGUGCUCUGGGGCCAGGUAACGACAGCCCCGCUCCAGAUCUAUGUAGCUCGCGGGUACCCUAAAAGAACAUGACUGAUGGACUCUACCUUCGGCCACCACCCACAACACGGAGUAAUCCUAACAACCCUCUCCGCCAGCAUGCUUCUUGUAGGUAGACAUUCCUAUGCCACCUUCUAUAGGAACUGAGCCACACGGGAAUGAACAUGCAUCCUCCAAAUCCAUCUACUGUCCAUCUGCCUGGCAGCUACCCCAUCCAUCGCCUCCUGUAAGUCCGAGGCACUCACCUUGGAUCUACCUAUAGCAGCCCAAACCAGUCUGUCCGAUACUUCCCCCAUGGGUACCAGAAUGGUCAGAAUCCUCUCGUAAGUGGACGGAAGCUUUUUUAUGUUGUUGCUGGCGUUAGACUCAUUUGGUGGAUUUAGAUUGGAUUAGAUUCUUUUUUGUUUUUUUUAUGUUUUUUCUCUUUUCGGGGAAGAGGCGGGUUGGUUCCAAGUUUAAACUACACCUAGAUUUUUAAUCGAACUUUGUUAGGUCAAACUUGGUUAGGUCUUCAGCGGUUUCUAAUCGUUCCGGUAAUAAUUCCACAAUAUCCAAAGUCUUCAUGCGUUUCUAACCCAUCCGGCUCAAGUCUUACCGUCGGACAACAUAGAUGAGACAUUUAGUCUACACUUCGAGGAUGAGUCAACUUUAGGUUGGAAUGAAACGUAUUCUUGUAAUUAAUAAUACGUUCUCAACUCAUGCACCCGUUACCACAACAUUAUAAAAUGGAUUUGAGAUUGAAAAGUUGAAACGGCAUACAUGUGCAUUGACAGUGUGACAUCAGAUACGAUUAUAUUAGAGAGGGAGAGGGGUUUUAUUUUAUAUCUUACUAUUUCAACUGAAUCAAGAUCUUCUUAUCGUAGAACACAAGUGCACACGUCAAACGAGAGGAGGACAAUUUACAAUCCACCCCUACUAAUCGAAACAUAAUAGCAAUAUAAUAAUGCACCUUGCGUCGUCUUCUAGUGCUUAAGAUACCCAAUACGCAAACGAAAGAGGAUAAAUUAGCAAGUUCACAUGCUGAAGUGUGGGGGAACUCGGAGUUUCACAUGCUCCUAGUUUCGCCUUCCAAAGCCUAGAACGUCCAAUGUUAAAUUUUUUACUUUAAAAAAAUUAUAUCUAUUAUAAACUUAGAGAAAAAUUAAAUAUAUUCUCCUAAAAUAGUUAUAAAUAAAAGUUGAGUACUUAAAAAAUAUUUAUGUAUUAAUUGGUUUUGAAGAUUUCCUAAUAAAUAGUUGUGGCAGCACAAUAUAAUGGAUUGGUUUUUUUAGAUGACACGAUGUAUAGAUAAAAAAAUAUCUUCCCUUACUAAGGUAUAUAUGGAAUUUGCACCAACCAGAGAUUCCACAUAAGGAAGGCAACUAUAUAUAGUUUUCUUUUUUUUUUUUCGGAACAAAAAAUGGUUUAUGAGUCAGUCCUAGUAGCGAAGCUGCGUGCGGCAUUGGAGGGCCUCGUUCAGGCUAGAGUGCACCUAAGUGCUCGGUGGAUCCUUCUUGAGAGAGACUUGGCUGCAGUGGUCGACUGGAUUCGGAGUGGGCAUGUCAGGCCAGAUUUGCAUCCUCUAGUUUAUGAUAUCUAUUAUUUUUUAGAGGAGUUGGACUCCUUCCGAGUCGCGCAUGUUUUUCGAAAGAUGAACAGUGCGGUAGACUGGAUCGCUUCUUUUAUAGCACACCACUCUAGGGCCGUCUUAUCAGGGAUUUUGAAGCCCGUGCUGGUGGCACUAGAGCGUUGUUUGUAUUGUGACUAUUCUGACAUACUCACGGCUGGAUGUAGUGAGUCGCCACCAAAAAAAUAAAACAUGGUUACCAUAGUUUGCACACGACUCCCAAGAGUCUAAAAUAAUAGCAAAAGAAACAAGAAAGGUAGAGCAUAUACGCAGAUCGGCAGAUGAGAGAUGAAAAGAAGUCACGGGCCAGCGAUGCCGACAGCCGGUGGCGGGACGUGGAGUUUCACAUGAUGUUGUCCAAGAUCUCGCUUUCACUCUCUUUCUCCAUGGUUCUUCUCCCAUUCUCGAGUCUAAAGUCUGAAGGAGGUCCUCCUAGCCGACGCCAAAGCGGCAACAAUCACUGGAAGUCAGAGAGACCCCAAGCAUGCAAGGAGGACAAGCCACGUGCUGAGAAGACCAAAUAUUUGACUUGGUAGUUGGAUUCCAGGGCUAUCUAUCAAUGCGAUGUUAUGGUCUUACUUGUCGUUAUAAGAUAGCUAUAUUAUUAUACCAGUUUACUUGCUAUUGGGUUUACUGAAAAGUUGGCCAUCUAAUACCUAUCCUAUAUAUAUAUAUAUAUAGNNNNNNNNNNNNNNNNNNNNUAUAUAUAUAUAUAUAGGAUAGGUAUUAGAGUUCUUAAGCCGGACCUGAUGGAGCUAUGUCUUAUGAACAUGCCUUGAUGCGGCAUGUCAGCAUGGUGCUCUCUCAUCCUCGCAGCAGCAGCCGCCGCCUCUUCUGAUUCGAGACAUUUGAACUUUGAUCUAUAGUAGAAUGGCUCUUUAGGCCAUGCAUAUCUACAAGGAGGCCAACAAAACUAGUGCAUUUGAAAAUAUACUGUAUUUUAAUUUUUUUUAGAUGUUUCAUGUAAAAUUUGUAUGAAUCAUUUGUUUUAGAAAAUAAUAAUAAUAAUAAUGCCGUGCAUAUGGGUGGCAUGAUGGCCAUCCUGGCUGGCUCAACGUAUGCCAAAAAGUUUGCUCGCUGUCGCUAUUUACGAUGAGAGAGGAGCUGAGCAUCUGCGAUUUUGGUGAUGCAGGCUUCAACCUUAUUGCUCAUCAAUGCUAGCUUUCAAUAUUAGCUCCGAUGCUCGUUAAUCGUUUUGACAGGAUGGCUGAUGAGCUGCAUCAAGGUACGUAGUGCCGCCCUUCAAAGGAGGGAUAGAACUGAAGCGAGUUGUUGUACUUGCCAUGACGUGGUCUGAAAUCUUGAUGAUGAAAUGGUUAAAAAUUUUCUAAUGUGACAAGGAAAAUUGUUGUGAGAAACACAUCCAGGCAAAUGUCCAUUAAACUCAUGUCGUUUUCUAUAGUUUAUGAGUGCCGUUGAUUUUUAUAGACCCCCAAGCCAUGCACUAGGUUGCCGUGCUGCCCGGGGAGCCUUGUGCCUAGCAAUUUAUGAUGCAUUCACUUGCGUGCGAGAGGACCGAAUAUACUACGAUUCGUUGUGAAUUUUCAAGCAACUUUUAAAUGGAUUACUUGCAGCAUGGCAUAUUGCUGAAGUUUACAUUAACCUCAUCCAAUUUACCAUAGCACAAAAUGAUUUGAUGAAUGAUUCCAGCGUUUCAAAUAGAAUAUGCUUCAUGUUAAGAAGCUCAUAUUUUUUAGCCUGACUAGCCAUAAUUUAAUUUUUAUUCUUGCAGAUACACGAGUAAUACACACACACACACGCAUAUGAUUUGUGAUUUAAGAGCAUUAUCGCAGUAUUUGAAGCAAAGUUUGUUGAGUUCUGAUUUCUAAACCAUGGCAGGCCCUAGCAACUCUAGGAUGUACAUCUGGAAGCGAGAGCAAAAAAAAGAUUUAGAAACAGAUCUCCUAUUGAUGGGGGGUGAGAAACAAUGAUGCAAAAAAAACCAGAUGUUGGAAUAAAAGGAUAAGUAGGGAACUGGGCUAAAUAUUAUUUUUCCUUUUAAUCAUACAUUUUUAUUUAUCCUUAGCUAAUUAAUUAGCUUAACUAGGAUAUUUGAGAUGUCUCUCCUCAUAUUUUUCUUACCGCUUCAUCAAUUAAGGAGCUGGAAUGCUAAACUAAAUCCUAACACUAAUUGGAUGCAGACCUCAUUCUUUUCACUUUCGAACUUAAGAUUAGUGUGACCAUUUUGGGCAUAGGACUAAAAAAUGGCCAUCCUUGCAAGGAUGGCAGUUCAUGGCAUUUGCUAUGCUAUAAUUAUAUAAUGAUUUGUAAGAGCAAAAUGCAGGAUGGUACUACACCUUUUAUAGUAGAAUGAUAGCAUUAUCAACAUUACAUAUUUCAUGAUCAAGUAGUCCAGAUUAAAAAAAAAAAAUUCAAGAUGUGCAAAUGUUAGUUGUAUUAAUAACAACAUUAUUUAACACUGCCAUGAUAGCAAAAUUGUGGACACAAUGAUUACAAUCAAUGCUUAAAGUGCAGGAUGGAUCAAUAUUUUGAAAGAAAUCAAUUUUACUACACUUGAAUGAGCAUAUUUGCAUCAUGAAUGUCAAAAAUAGCGAAUCAGCGUCAUAAACAUGGAAUGCUACUUAUAUUUUACUUGGAAAUAGUUACAACUGCAAGGUCUGCCUGCUCUUCUUUGUCUUGAUACCAAUAAACCACGUCAAAUUCCAUGUUUUUAUUGCAUGUACCCAGGCAAAGGGUGCUCUCAGGAUAGAAUCCCACGAUGAGGUCCCUUGGUACACCACCUAUCCCACCCUUAAUUACCACUCUUAAAACUUUGCAUCCAUAUAUAUAUAUAUAUAUAUAUUACAACGGUGGCUCACAGAUGCGGCAAAUAAAAUUAGAAAACAAAAAACUAGAUAAGAGUUCCGACACUGCAUCGUAAUCUAUUCGUACGAAACUUUCAGAGUGGUAAACUGCAAACGAAGCAACCUAGUCGGCGGCACCGUUUGCUUCUCUUUAAACAUACGUGGCCUGAUGAAAGCCACAUUGUUUCAGGAGUCUACGAAUGUCAUUGAGCAAUGAUUUACCCUCGUGGCUUUUCUCAUGAAACCCACGUAACGGAUAACUAUAGAGAGCCAAGUCCUCCAAUUCCUUCUCCUCUCUUUCACUUUUCUUUCUUCUUCCACAUACCAGCGUGCAUUCAACGACGUUGAAAGGUCUACCCAACUGCUCAUUUAUUUCAACGUCCUCCUCUCCCUAACAAACUUUGAGACCUGAAAUUUACCCGAACUCAAGGACUUCAUGUCACCAACAAUGGCCUUCACCUCCCAAUAUCAAUGUCCUCAUCUUGUUGAGGAUAAUACCAUGAACAAUAGAUUAAGCUUAUAGCUAGAGACCUUGAGAAGGUAUAGAAACUGUGUAUUAUUUAGGCAUGUAAUAUGUAUUAACAAAAAUAACAUGAUCGACUAUAUAUUAUCUUGAUUUUAGGUGUGUAUCAAUAAAGCAUGAGGUAUGUAUCUAUAAAGUAAUAAGUAUGUGUCUAUGAACUGUUGGGUAUGCAUGAGCAUACUAGAAAGCUUAUAUAUGUAUUAAUUGGAUAUGUCCUCAUCUCCUGUCGAGGUAUGCCUGUACUUAUGCCAGAUUAGUGGAAACGAUCGUUUUAUAGAAAAAGAAAAAAAGUGACCUUGGAUGCGCUCUUUAUUAUCCCACUUCUUUCUUUGUUUUUCUUCUAUUUUUUUUUCUGUUAUUAUGCAUCCUUUGAGAUGUUUGUGAUGAGAAAAGUGACAAGUAAAUCUCUUUAGAUGAUGUACUCAUUAGGAAAUUUUGAUCCGUAUUAUUGGAGAUAAGCUACACGAGCGUUUCAUUACGAUUUAAUUUGCUCGGUGAAAGUAAUAACUUUUAUAUUACUUGAAAAAGAAAACUUCUUAAAAAAGACUCUGCUUUCUCCAACCCACCCCCUCCUCCCCAACUUCGUUACAUUUAUGAGGUCUCCCGGUCCCACUCCAAAUAAUCCAAAUAAAACGACAAACAAAAGCCAGCACCCUCUUACCCAUUCUAGCCGUGGUUGUCUCUUUCGCGGUAAAAAACGAUACACCUUCCUUCGCGCCCAUUCACCGUUGGAUGAUCGACAGCACGGAUGUCAAAGCCGCCGCACAACUCUCAAAGCGAAGUACGGAUGAUCCGACGGUCGACACCCGUGAAGGAAGGUGUACCAUUCUUUAUGCGGUGGCUUAGCUGUGUAGGUACCUGAAAAGAUCGAGAAAAAAAAAUAAUACUAAAGCCUCUUUUCAUCUAAUAAAAGAAUUUACGUGCACAUAAAAAAAUGUGCGUGCACAAAACUUUAUAUUGAUUUAAAUUAAUUGUGAGAUCAUAGGAGUCACACCAAAAACAAUCGUACAUUUAUACAUUUAUCGAUUUUACAUAAUUUAAAUAUUCGAUUAUUAUCACUUAUUAAAAUUAUUAUAUCGUAUUAAAAAAAAAGAAAUGGAAGCGAAGGCAAAUGGCCCAAAUGGUGGUUCUCUCUUCCGGAGAGAGAAGAAGCCCCCAUGCUCGCUUCUUCCUUCUCUCUCUCAAUGAUGACUUAAAUAGGAGGAAAGGGGCCAGUGAUAGAAAAGAGCCUUUUCCUCAUCUUUUCUCUUAACUUCUGAGCUAUAUAAUUUGCUGCUACCCCUUGAGGGUAUCUGGAGCGAUGCCAUCCAGGCUACCGCCGAUGCCGGCGGACCCGCCGGAUCCCUCCGCGGCCCUUCUUCCCCACUACCACCACCGCCCCCGCCCCACCAUCCUGGUCCCCGUGGUUUUCGCCGCGGCAGCACUCACAGCCAUCGUGCUCGCCGUGCUCCUCUACCGCCGCCUGGCCCGCGGCAGGGCAGCCCCCACAGUCCCCGCCGAUCUGAAGCCCGCUCCGACGAGCACCCUCCGCCGGUUCUCCUACUCCCAGCUCCGCCGCGCCACCGCCUCCUUCUCCCCCUCCCACAAGCUCGGCCAGGGCGGGUUCGGGCCCGUGUUCCGCGGCGCCCUCCCCUCCGGCGAGGAGAUCGCCGUCAAGCUCAUGGAUUCCGGCUCGCUCCAGGGGGAGCGCGAGUUCCAAAACGAGCUCGCCCUUGCUGGCAAGAUGCUCGCCAUGGGGCCCUCCCCGGACCGUGGAUGGGUGGUGGCUCCCCUCGGGUACUGCAGCUCCGACGAGAAGCGCCUCCGGCGUCGGUGGUGGCGGCGGUGGCGGGAGGCAGACGUCGAGGAGGAGGUGGUGGUGGAGGCCUCCGCCGUCGUCGGGGGGACAGGGCGGAGGGUGCUCCUGGUGUACGAGCUAAUGCAUAACGGGAGCCUCCAGGACGCGCUGCUCGACCGGCGGUGCCCGGAGCUCAUGGACUGGGGCCGCCGGUUCUCGGUGGCGCUCGACAUUGCCCGCGGCCUCCAGUUUCUCCACACCGGGUGCGACCCCCCGGUCAUCCACGGCGACAUCAAGCCCAGCAACAUCCUCCUCGAUGCCCGCCUCUCCGCCAAGAUCGCCGACUUUGGCCUCGCCCGCAUCAAGACCCCCGUUGCCGACGACCUCCCGGCCGCCGCCGCCGCCAAUUUGGGCGAUAAUGAGGUGGUCGUCGAGAUCGAGCUGAAUCAGGCCGUGACCGGUGAUUCUAAAUCCUUUCCGAACGAUAGGAAGAAGGACUCAGCGGUGGGUGGAGGCGAGGAUGAUGCUUCAAUCAUGGGAGAGACUGCCGAGAGCACCACGACGACCACCGGGUUCGAGGAGUCAAUUGGAUGUGGAGGGUUUGCAAUUAAUGGUAGUGGAAAUGGUGUUAUAGCUCCUGAGAAAUCUCCAGAGGAAGAUGAGGGCUUCACCAUGGAAUCACCGGUGGAGACUGCAGUGGCCUUGGAAGUGCAAUCAACUUCGGAGACAGGAGGGGGAUUCGAUAGGAUGAGUGUGGAUAGCGGGAAGGAUACUGCAGCCUCCGGAAGCCGGAGAGGCGGCCGGAAGAAGAGCGGGGCGGGCAAGGACUGGUGGUGGCGGCAGGAUACUGGUGGGGGAGCAAAUUCCGAGUCUGGAGGCGGUGUCAAAGACUAUGUGAUGGAAUGGAUUCGGUCGGAGAUCAAGAAGGAGAGGCCUAAGAGUGACUGGAUUACAGCUUCAGCCGCUUCUGCAGAGGAUUGCUUGCCGAAGUCAUCAGGAGGGGGGAGGUCGGAGCGGAAGAAGCAGCAGCGGCGAAUGGAGUGGUGGGUUUCGUUGGAUGAGGAGAAGUCGAAGAAGAAGGAGAAGAGCCGGCCGCCGAGGGAGUGGUGGCGGGAGGAGUUCUGCGAGGAACUCACCAACAAGCAAAAGAAGCGGGCGAUUGAGAAGUCCAAGAGCAAUGCCGAGAAAGGAGAGCAACAAUGGUGGCAGAAAGAUGAGGACCUUGCGUCGCCUUCAGGCAGGAGGAAGAGGAGGAAGAAGAAGAGCUGGAGCAGGGGCAGCCGGACCAGUAUGGACUGGUGGACGGAAGGCAUCAGUGGGGACAUCAGGACCACUGGAAGGAGGAGCAGCCGGGACUGGGCAAGUGGGGAUAUCCCGAAGAGUGGCACGGUCAGCAGCACCCCAAGCAUGAGGGGCACUGUCUGCUAUGUUGCCCCUGAGUAUGGCGGUGGCGGACCUCUCUCGGAGAAGUGCGACAUCUACAGCUUUGGUGUCCUUCUGUUGGUUCUCGUAUCAGGCCGGCGCCCAUUGCAGGUGACAGCAUCUCCCAUGUCCGAGUUCGAGCGGGCCAACCUGAUCUCGUGGGCGCGGCACCUUGCUCACUUAGGAAGGCUCCUUGAUCUCGUCGAUCCAUCCCUUCGAGCUGUGGACAGGGAGCAGGUGCUUCUUUGCAUCACAGUCGCCCUCCUGUGCCUCCAGAGGUCUCCAGCUCGCCGACCGUCUAUCAAGGAGAUAGUUGGAAUGCUUACUGGCCAGUCUGAGCCACCGCACCUCCCUUUGGAAUUCUCACCAUCACCACCUGGUGGGUUUUCAUUCACGUCCCGGAAGAAGGCUCGGUGAGUUAAUCAAUUUUUAUGAGCAUUGGUUCUAGUGUUUAUUGUACAUCAUUUUGAAUUUUCCAUCUCUUUGGAGGUGAUGGAUGUAUAAAAUUCUGAACAAAAAGAGAAGCAAUUUCCUUUUGAAUUCGCCAAGAUUGGUCUUCAAUUCCAAUUUUGAGUGUGAGGGAACCUUUUAGUGCAAUUGAGUUGUUAGGGAUCUCUUGCACAACUUACUCCAAACUAGAAUUCUUCGGACUGUUGGUAGAGAGGCAACUCAAAUCGAUAAAGUUCCUUUUGUCCUGGUAGAUUGAAAGGGCUCUUGCCUUUUCGUGUGCAUGAGGUAGUGCUUACUGGGCCAUGUAAAUAUACUGUCACUCCAUCCUUCAGUUUUUGCAUGCAACUUUUCUUAAAGUAAGCUAAGCUUUGGCCCCAGUUCUACCGGGUCUUUUGCUCCAAACUUAUGCUGUUAAAAGGAAAAAAGUUGUCAAAGAUUCUUCUGCUUCCUUCUUUUUGCAAUGUGUAGGCCUUGACCAGAUUCCUUGUAAGAGAGGCAAUUGGCUUUUCAGAAUAUCAUUUUCCAUGGUGCUGUGGACAUGUAAUCUUACUUCACAGUCUCUGUGCUUUUCAAAAAAGCUUCUACUUUCUACCAUGUGGUUUGCCUAUCUGGUCUGGAUGAACUACUAUGCUAGUAUGACAUGGUCUUCAGAGUUGGCCUGUCAAGGACUCAGUCUUGACAUUCUGGGUCACAGAAUAUCUACUCAAGUGGAAGGCUUUGGGUUUGGAGAGCAGCCACACUGUUAGGUAGGGCCAUGCUAUCAGAAUUGGUCAAGGAGAACCUGGGAACCUUACCAUGUAUCUGACUUUGUGAGCUAAUUAUGUGUUCAGAAAGAUCAGAAAUUUAAAAUUCUUCAACAUUGGCUACUGCAAGAAAAAUUUUCAACUCUACUAUGUUGCUGAUGACAUUAUUUUAAUAAAUUUUCUGUGUACCCCUAUCUGACCAAAAUGAUGGUCCUAUUCUUGGGCAUAUGUAUUAAAAGCUGGUAAAUGACUGAUGUUGAUUAGAUUCUGUCAACUAUUUAAUGCAUUGCUCCUCUUUUUGCUAUCGUUUAGAAUCUUCCCGUAAAAUGGUCCAAAAAUGAUGAUAGUUAUUGGUCAUCCAUCCACGAUUAUUUGGAAUACUUAUAUUUAUUAAUCCAGCUCCUUGGGCCAUAUACAGAGCAAAAUGUGCUGCUGUUUUUAUAGCUGUUUCAUAGGUGAAUACUUGCUGCACAGCAUUCUUGAUCUAAACACUUCUUUCUCUCUCUCUCUUUUUCUUUUUAAUUUCAAUGCUGAUGUAUGCUGCUUUGCUCUUCCUCGAGUGGAACUCCACAAACCUUUUUUCCUGGAGAGUUCAGGGAGAAAAGACUUAAAGUUCUUUUCUUGUAAACCUACCUAACAGUUUUUGACCUUGGAUAACCUGUUGCUUUCAUGAGAACUUUUGAGCGACCGGGUGACUUUAGUACUUUGUUCUUGCCCCAAGAGAUAACUUAAGAUGAUUGUUUAAAAUUGAUUCUGCAAUAAAAGAAUGUUUGGUUUUAUUUCUGAAUUUUUUUUUACUCACUUUUACAUUUUCUUUAUUCCAUUGGAUUUUAUUUUUUUCCUUUUCUGCAUGUCCUUGGUGAAUGAGGAUCCAUAAAGUUGACCCCAAGUAGCUGGGAAAAGGCUGGAUUAUUAUGGUUGAGCUAGUGUAAUUAACUUCUACUGAAAACUUUUGUUAAUUAACACCUUUGAAUGUAAGUAGAUCUUGGAAAGAAAUGUUCUUGCAUUAUCCACACAUUACUCUCCUGUGAAUACACUUUUCUAGAUGUAAAUUGCAAACUAGUGCUUCAAGCCUGUUUGGUUAUCCUGUUUCAUACAAUUUAGGAGUUGUAAUCUUUUAGUGAUAUUUCAAUGGCAACAUUUUGCGGCCACUCUGCAACUUUUAGGCUGCUGACCUGUUGACUGACAAACUUAUCAGAUGAAAGAUGAAGGAUGAUCAUUUGCAGUUAGACAAUCAAAAAUCAAAUGCUUUAUGGAAAAUUUACGAAUCCUAGUGACAAUCUUCCAAUUACAGGUUUUCUCCCUGCUUGCUGUUUGUCUUUCCUUUUUGAGGAGGUGUUCAUGUAAUUUCCCUUUUCAUUUCAUAUUUUCCACCUUCAUCAGCUGACAAAAUUGAUGUAAGGUGUUAAGCUGAUUACCCAUGGUAGCAGGUAAUUGUGUUGAUACGGAUUGGCAAGGAAUGUAGCAGCUGACUGCGGGCUUCAGCAAUCGCAGAGACCAUUUGAGUCGAUGGUGUUGCUAAAAUUAGUUAAAGAAGUUGUGUCCUCAGUUCUCAAGCGAGUCUACAACUUGUCUAUAAUCUGCUUAAUUUUGUGGCAUAUUUGAUGCACGUAGAUAGGAAGAAAAUGUGCACCCUGGUUAUCUGUUCACUUCUGGUUUGGCAGCAGACUUAAACUUCUGGGUACUGGUAGAAAAUUAGGCAUUGCCUUGGGGAUCGUCAGAUGCUCAAAUGUAUUUCGGAGCAGGAUGAUGAGGAAUUAUAAUUAUUCUUUGGUGAUGUGACAGCAAGAAGAGGUGAAGAGGCCUAUUCAUGGGCUGGAGAUUCUGAAAAUAAAUGAAUUUAAGCUUGAUAUGUAUGUACAAAGGAAGAAGAUUCUGCGAUGAGGGAAAUGAUAAUAAAUAAAUGGAGUUUUCACUUGGAAUGUGAGUGUUUUUCAUGAACCAGUACAAGAUUUGCACUGAAGUGACCUAUGAAGAAAUUAGGGGUCUAAGUCACCGCUUUGAAUAAGUUAUUCAUAAGUUAUGGCGAAAGAAGGAUAUGGACUUUUGGCUGUAAAUUGACAUGAAUUAGAAGAUUUGACAUGAAGAAUUGAAUCAGUUGCUGUAUAUUUUGGUAAGGAGCCAUAGGGAAGACGAAAUUUAUUGAGAAGUUUGCUAUAAAAUUAAACUUUUAGUCAGAGGAAAGAAUCUCAGUCCCUGAAUACUUGCCUCUCUCCAUUGCUCUCUGAGAUUCUUUCUAUAAUGUUUAUAAAGUGUCUCAUUAGCUGAGUGCUUCAGGGAUUUUAUUGAAUGCAUGUUUGCAGACAUGAUGUGGAUAAGCUAUUAUGUUAUAGUGUCUUGGAGAUUUUGCUGAUUCUCUAGAUUGCUUUAAAUUAUUGCUUUAAAGGUCACGGAAUAUUGGUGGUUAUAAAAAUCCCAUGUAUUCCUAUGAAAGGUAAACUACAUGCUCAAGUAGAUUGUUAUAAAUGCAUGGUGAUUUACUUCUGUUUGCUAUACCUUGAAUUUAUAAUUCUUAUAAAUGGCAUUCAUAAAUCAGUAUUGGAUAUUUGACAGAAACUUGAUUGUAUGAAAGUCAAAUUACAUAAUUAUGUUCUUCUAAAUGAACAUUGCAAGCGCAUUAUAUUUGAAAAGAGUGGGAAAUAAAAUAAAGGUAUUAAACUGUACAUUCAUUUGGGGUGAGACAUAAUGUGAGUUGAUGUCUUUUCACUUGACUUUGUUAGAAUAUGCAAAACUUGAACACAAAGCUGAUUGUCUGAUUUAUGUAAUGUAAUUGGCCUUAAUGGGUAAAUGAUUUUACAAAUCAUAUUGAUAGAAAAUGAAGAUAUGUGGAAACAAAUUAUUGUUACAAAAUAUCUUCAAGGUUUACGAAGAAGGGAUUUCCCUUUGUUGUCAAGGUUCAAAAUUUUGGUUUUGAUUUCAGCUGAGCCAAAUGAGUUUUUGUUUGACACUUUUUUGCAAUUUUUAACUCCAUCCUGCAGUUUCAGAUAAAAAACAGAAAAUCCUAAAAAUUCCAAAUAUAAAAUCAAAAUAAUUGAAGAAUAGUGAGUCAAGAUAAAAUUUAGAAAUCAUUUUAUUUUUGUAUCGACUUUUAAACAUUUGAGUGUAUUAUCCGGGCAGUUUCAUUUUGAAACAAGCAAAAAGUUCAUAAUUGUUAAAAAUAUAAUAAUAAAAUAAAAUGUUUCAUGUUUAGGAAUAUAAUCAGUCAUUUCAUUAUUUGAAAGCAAACUAACAGAUUAUUAUUCAAUAUGUUGUUUGGUUUCUGGUUAACCAAAUCCGAGACAAAAUAUUACCUUUCCUCUAAAUGCCUACAGUGUCCAACAUUAUAAUUCUUCUAUAUCUACUUCAAAUUCUUAAUUUCUAAGAUUAAUAUUGAGAAAUUGAUUUCCAAAAUUUGAAAAAAAGAAAUAUAAGAAAGAUAAAACUAACAAGUUGCCCAUAUCUAGAAUAUGUUUGAUCCUGCAAGUUGGUUUUGGCUGAGAUUGUAAAAUUUAUAGUGGUUGUAAAAACAGUUUUGGUUAAGAACAAAAAGUUUCAGUAGUAUUGCAGGUUUUUUUAAGUUUUGGGUUAUAGUUGAAACUUAAAUUAUCGUUAAUAUGCUUUUAGUGUUUCAUUUAGAAGGGAUUAUCGGGAUCGGAGGUGGAGUUAUGGCAGUGGUAUGGUUAAGAUGGUAUAGAAUAGCACAACUGAGAUGAAUCAAGGGGAUGUUGAUUUACAACUGAGCAAACUGCUAUAGUAUAUACACAUUCGUUAAGACAAAGUUGGACCUUACUAAAUUGAGAUGCUGAAUAAUUGACUUUGAUUUGAUCUUGCUAAGAAUUGACAUCCAUGUGAGAAGGAAAAUUGUGCUGAAACAAUGCCUUUCAGUGAUGAACCACUGAUGAUGGAGCUGAAAUUCUGUUCUUGUUUUAAUAAUUUUGAAAUUGAAGAAGAUUGUUCACAUCAUGUGGAGCAUAGUCACAACACAUUGCCUUUCAAUGCAGUAAAAAUUUUAUAAUAUUGUAUUUAUUCAAAUGGAUGAACGUGCAAAGUUAUUACCUCCAUCCAGGAACGCUACGGGACUGAACAAAUAGAACAAUCAUUACUGAACUAAUGAGGGCUCUGAAUCAUGCUAUUCUCUGGUCUUUGAGAUUUAACAACAGCUGCAGAAUCUAUGCUGGCAUGAGCAUGAGGUCAGAUCAGAUCACUGAUUCUCUGGUCCCAAACUAAAUUCCUAGUUAAACAAUUAGCAGGCUGAAAAUCUGAAGUCAGACUUGUGUUAACUUCUUGCCAUUCCCUAACCCCUGCACACUGGCAUUUCCUGCAAACCAUUGUACAAGGGCAUUCUAUCUUUAGAUUUUGGAUACUGUGGAUGCAAGUUUUAGUCUAUUGUAGCACUUUGAUUUUAUCAAUGAACAUUUCCAUUCACUGAUAAGAUAUAAGCUUUUGCUGUCAACUAAUAUGCUGCUGAAGUAAAUAGUAUGGAUGCACAGCUGGUCUCAGCGAAUCCCUAGUCUGUGAAUCUUUGGUUGGAAGCUUAGCUAUUAUGUUCUUUCAUAACUCACAUUCAGACCUUAUUAUUGAUAAACUUUCUUGGAGAGUUUGAAACGAGAUGAUGGAUCUUUGUCAUGUGGGAGGCACUUUUAAGCUCUAUGCUAAAGCACUUGCAGCACCAUGUUAUAAUUUGUACAGGAAGGAAGAAAUAAUUUUGGAAACCCAUAGGUGUCUGUUGUUAUAAUUAUCUGCAGGACUUUUUUGUCUUUUUAAUUUGUUUCUUUUUUCGAGUCUCUGCUUGGAAGUUGGACCUAGAGAUUCACUGAUGUUGGGAAUUUGCUGGGGAUGCAAGACUUGGUAUUAUACUUAUCAGCCAUGAAAUACUUUGAGUUUUGCGAUACUUUGUUUUAUUUUUUUUUCAGCCUUGCUCUGAUAUCUUCGGUUGUUUAUCCACCUUUUUUUACCGUAAUAACCACUCUAAAAUUGCUAUACCUUUUGUUGUUAUGAAGGGUAAUGCACAGUUAUGCAUCCAAUCAUGCACAAAAACAAUGCACAGUUAUGAAGGGUAAUAACCACUCUUUUUUUUUUUUUUUGGUUGAUACUGAUGCAUCUACACCUUAGAACAAGCAGAUUUGGAAUACAAUCACUGUGUCAACUCGGUACUCAGUGUUGUGGACUCAUCCUCAAUCCUCUCUCUCCUACUAGCUUGGAGGUGAUAGACUGCAUAAGCAAGCCUCUCUCAUAUAGCUGUAAGCUCUGCCAUAAGAAUAUUGAUGUUGGAGAGCCUUCUCUCCCCAACCACCAAAAUAUCUCCUGCAUCAUCUUUGAUCACAAAAGGACCUCACUCUACCAAUGCCUUUGUUUUCCUUGUACCUGCAAAUAGUGGCUACAGGGAUAGCAGUUCAUAGCCCUGUCCGAAGGAGCAUGGUGCGGUUAAUAGCCUCGCGCACGCGCGCGUUACCUUUGUAAAUGAGUAAAUUAAGAGGCACAGGUGUCUUUGUUUGGCUUCCAGUUUUACCAGUAAAUAGCGGCUCAAUCCAAGGACUCCGACAGCAUCUUUCCCGCACGAAUCCACCGUUGGACCAUCAGCUAGCCUCUUUCAGAUCUGUGCCAACGGAUAAAUAAUGGAAUUUGGAACGCUUUGAGAGCUGGGCGGUGGGUCAACCAACCGUGGCUUCAAGCGAUAGAGGGGGAAUUCUUCUUUUACCCGGUCCCCACUCCGUGUAUUAUGAAUAGCUACAGCAAGCUUAUUCAUAAUCACAGUAAUAAUGAUUAGGAUUUGAUGGGAGGCAAAAUGGAUCAUCCUACUCCAGCGUUGAGCCAUCCAAUUCCGGCCGAGCAGACCUCAGAGCCGAGCAGGCCAGACCUCGAUCCCGCUAAGAGCUAGACCGACCUUGGACCCUGCCAAAGGCCAAGCCGACCUCGGCCCAGUCAACCUUGAUCCCAUCAAAGAUCCUGCGGAUCCUCAGCACAAAAGGAAUGGUUCCUCCCCAAGGCCUUAUAUAGCCUACCUCAACGGCUCUGAUCGGCCUGCUCAGGCGGCUGAGCAACCAGAUCAUGCCCCAUGGUAGACUAUCACGUAACGCCUCGAGAGGGAGCGCACACGCAACGCAUUGAAGAGCCCUUAACUACUUCUGCUUGAAAUGAUGUGAUGGAUUCUUAGAACAAAUCUGGAAAAAUAUCUCCCACAUCCUCCGUCUGCGGGAUCGAUCUCCGUGAUUCACGCUACCUCAAGCUAAUGGCCAGCUGAUCACAAAUCGGCCCGAGAUUUCAGGUAACGGCCGAAACGCUCACCCUAUAAAAAGAGGUAGGAAAAGGCUCUUGGUAAGCUAUGAGAAGCAAUUCAAAACACUCAAAAACCUCUCCAAAAAUUUGGCUAACUUAGCCAUUGGAGGGCCUUCGCUGGAAUCCCUGAUUAAGGCUUUGUGCAGGUACACCGGAGCGCAGGAGGUGGCUCGCUUCCUCUGUCCCAGCUGGCGUCUUCUUGGCUUCCUCCGGCAUGGUCACCCUUAGGCCAAAUUUCAACAACAACAUGAUUAAUAUAGAGGCUUGUUCUUUGAAUUAUUUUUUUUAAGAAAAAAAAGGAAAGAUGAGCAAGUCCUCUAACUUGGAGCGAUGAUCAGGUAAGCAUACUAACAUAUCAUAAAUACAUGUAUUCUAUCCAUUUGGUCCCAAUGUGGGAUUGGAUGAUUCACUAUCUUUCAUUAAAUUGCGCAAUGGCUACUUCGAGAUCCAUGCAAAUAGGGGAAGAAAAAAAUUGAAAUACUUUGAGAGCAGUGUAAUAUGCAAUCUUACAGUUGAUGUCGCCAAAAAAACAAUCAUCAAUCAUUCUUUCGUGCGAAUGAUGCUACCCGAAACCUUUGGCCCAUGCAAUCUUUGUAAACAUGGCACCACCACCUCACGUUUCAGUUUCACCUCCUCAAUUCAAUUCAAACUAAAACUACUAUUUCUACCUAAAAAAGAGAAGAGGAGAAAAGAAAAAGCGAAAACGAACUCAAAUUAUCCAAAGAAGUCAUGGCUCCUCCAUGCUCCUCCUAUGCGUUCAAGAGAGGAUUGGUAGGGGGAGCCCUUGAAGAUGCGUGCGAGGACACAUUACUCCGACUGCUGGAGCUAGAACUACCCAUGAUCCCCGUCCCAGUGUAAGUAAAAUUAGUUAGGUCCACCGGCGGCGCAUAGUACAUCGGUUUCGGCAGGCUCGGCACCGGAGCCUCCGCCGUCAACACUCGGAGCACCUGCCGCAUCGAAGGCCUGAACUUGUGGUCUGGGUGUGCGCACCAGAGCCCCAGCGCCAUCAACCUCUCCAUAUGCCCCUCAUCGAAGCCCCCUUCAAGCCUCCCAUCAGCAGCCUCCACCGCCCUCCCCCUCCCAUGGAGCUCCCACACCCAGUCCACCAGCCUCAUCUCCAGCUCCCCAGCCUUGGGAUCGAUCGCCUUCCUCCCACAAGCAACCUCCAAUACCACCACUCCAAAGCUAUACACAUCAGACUCCCUGCCGGCCUUGCCCGUCGUCACGCACUCGGGCGCCAGAUACCCCAUCGUCCCCGCCAGCACCGUCGUCUGCGAGCCGAGCUCGUGGUCUACCAGCCUUGCCAGCCCGAAGUCGCCGAGCUUCGCAUUGAAGCUUGAAUCGAGCAUCACAUUGCUCGCCUUGAUAUCUCGGUGCACCACGCACUGCUUCCAUUCUUCAUGAAGGUAGAGCAAUGCCGAGGCCAGGCCGAGCACGAUCCUGUGUCGCACCAGCCAGGACAAGGAGGACUUCUUGCCGAAGAGGUAGGCGUCGAGGCUGCCGUUGGGCAUGUACUCGUAAACAAGGAGGAAUUCUCCCUUGUCGUGGCACCACCCUACCAAUCUCACAAGGUUUCGGUACGUGCCGUAGUCGGCCGAUGAUCGUCACCUCCGAAAUGUACUCCUUCCGCCCUUGGCUCGAGCCUCUCGAGAACCUCUUGACGGCCACCAUCUCAGACGAUGGAUUGCCCUUGAGAAGUCCCAGGUAGACGCCUCCAAAACCUCCUCGCCCAAGCUUGCCUUCCUCACUGAACUUUCUUGUAGCUAGGACUAGUUCUUUGUGAGUGAACCGCCUGGGUCCAGUUCCUUUAGCCAAUUCACCUUCCAUUGAUGCAUCAAGUACCAAGUCAUUCUCCUUUCCUCUCUUCUCACCCGACUUCUUCUUUAUGAGCAAGUAAGUAACCAAAGCAUGCAGCUAUUAGUCCUACUCCCACCACCACGGCCGCCACCAAAGGUAAGUUCUUCCUCUUCUUCUUGGAAGGUGCCUCCUGGUCGUUACCAAAGCUAGAGGAGAAAUCCCAAGAAAUAAUCUGGUGGAGCUCCGUCCGGCCGCCUGUGGAGGCCGAGAACCCAAUGAUCACCCUCUCCGGGAGGACCUCUCUCAGGUUCAGGCGGUGCGACAGGCUCGGAGUUCCAUUAUAGCGGUCGUCACCAUAGGUGAGGAACACAAAGAGCUCGCCCGACGUCGAGUUGUACCCGAUCCACGCCGAUCCGGUGCCCUCGUCCUUGAUGUCGCUGCCCCACGUCACCGUUACGUUGGAGAUGAUGGAGUUGACGUCGAUGCCGAAGUGGUUGUCGUCGGGAUCCCAUGGGUUCAUGUAUGUGUCGAACUCGACGGCGACGAGCUGCGUCGAGCUAGAAUUAUUGGUCGUUGAGUUGAAGAGGCCAAGCCAUGAACCAUUGGAGUUUAGCGGGAGCUCAUAGCCAACCGAUGCGAUGAAGAAGGAAAGGCCAUCGCCAUAGCUGGUCGGGUCGAGAGCAUUGAUGAUGAACUGGAAGUGGGUAGUGAAGUCGGCGAUGGCGAGGGUGGCGGGGUCCCAGAGCUGGAUCGGGUUGGCGUACACGGCGUGGCCGGAGCUCUGGCUGAGGUUGCCAUCGGCGCGGUUGCGGGUGAGCUGGAUGACGUUGUCGCCGGAGGGGUAGGCGUCGCCGGAGAAGUUGAUGCUGGGGUUGUUGGGGGUGAAGGAGGUGAAGUUGAAGAGGGUGGAAGGGGUGGCAGCGGGAAGGAGGGAAGAGAUGAGGGGAAGAAGAAGCCAUGGUAGGAGGGGGAGGAGAGGAGUCAUUGCUUGGUUGCGGAAAGGGAAGGGGAAGGUUGGUGUAAGUUGGAAGCUCUACUACUAAUACCUAAAGCAGUGAACCAGAUACCUACUACAGGCCAAGCAGCCAAGAAGAAAUGUAAGGAACGAGAAUUGUUGAAACUAGCAUAUUGGAAGAUCAAUCGGCCAU
rnacentral:lncRNA from 1 species